rnacentral:lncRNA from 1 species
UUGAUCCUUCAUGUGAUGUCUUGAUUUGUCGAUUUACAUGAUUCCUCACUACAAAACACUCAAAACACCUGUGGAGUUGCAUAAUUUAGGAUAAAAGUGAAUUCCAACAACUCGUGUGGAAAGAAUACAAUAUAAUCCACAAACCAUUGAAAAAUCCUCUAACUCUCAUCUUAUUUGUCUUAAUAUGAAAAUAAAAGUACUAAAAACAUAACUAAAAAUAUCAUAUAAUGUUCGAUCAUCAUAAAGAAAUAAUUAAAUAGUUUAAGCAUUAUAAAAUUUUAAAACCCUUCAGAAUUCUAGAAUCAUUCAUAAAUGUCUCUUAAAUAUAUCAAUGUGUUCUUUUUGUCCCCUUAGAACACUUAAGAAGGCGGUCAUGCAGUAAACAUAAUAAUCAAAAUAAUUGAAUAUAAUUUUACUAACUUGUUAUCUUUUAAAUAAUUUUAUUAUUUUCUUAACCCUUUGAUUACAAGUCAUCUUACAAUAUUCUUAGCAUGUUUUUCAAUCAAUUUUAGUAGGUUUUACCAACAAAGUAGAGGAAUAUUAGAUCAAUUUCUUAUGAUUUCGGGUCAUUUGUAUUGAUUUCUAUAUUUUAGUCUAUAAUUCUACUAUUCCCAAAACACAUCAAUUUUAGGGUAUUCUUGAUGUAAUUUACGAAGAAAUCAAGCAAAUCAGACAAAGCAAGACAUUCGAAGAUUUAUGUGGUCCUUGAGAAGAUGAAGAAGGAAAAUUCAAGAGGCAUCAGAAGACUUUACAAAUGGAGGAAUUUGUUCCCAAGUUUCAAUACAUCUUACAUUGAAGAAAACACCUAAACUGGCGAAAAAAAUAGGCAAAACAACACAGAAAACGCACUGAGGCGCCCAAACGCGCCUUAGAGUGGGCUAGGCACCCCCAGAGCUGUUGAAAUAAAGCACCUAGUGCAUGCCAGGGAGCUCUAGGUGCCUCAGGCUGGCAAGCACAUGCGCCUAGCGCAUGGCCUUAGGUGCCUAGCGCAUGGUGACUUACGAAAAAAGUAAUUUUUUGUGACUUUUUCGCCCCUAUAAGCCCAUGUGUUUAGCCCAAGUUAGGUGAAACUUUCUCUAUAAAUACCGCCUUCCUCAUUCAUAAUCUCUUGCUCAGAACUGGAGCAAUUCAAGAAAAAUGUGAUUCUUUGAGCCAAAGAGGAGUUCUAUCUUCUCCUAUCUUUUCUAGCGUAUUUUUUUAUCUUUUUGUAUUUUGUCUUGGUUAUCAUGUGUAACUAAAUACUUAUAGGCUAGGGUUCUAAGAUAAACCGCUUCUAAGAUAAACCGCUAUUUGUUUUGUUGUAUAAUAUUUUAAUUCAAUGUCGUUUAUUUUAGUAUGUUUUAUGUUCGCUGUUAAGUUUUAUUAGGAUUAGUUUAUUCCGACGAAGUGCAACUCUAGAUUAGGUAUUUAGGUUGUGAGCGGGUCUAAUAUUGAUCUUACUGUCCUGAUGUUUAUAUCUGGAUAUUUAUAUCUUGUAUAUUAAUAUCUACCUAUCUAAAAAGUAAGUGAUUAAUAACUAGACGAAAGAUAUACCAAGAGUGAGUUGAGCCUAGUAGUAAGUACAACUUUACUAACUUGUCAUCAUUUAAAUAUUUUUUUUUUUUUUUUACCUUUCAUGAGAGUAAAGUGAAAAAAUACAUUUUUAUAUCAUCAUAAAGUUACGUAGGAAUAUAAAGCACCCUUAGAUAUUUAUGAACAAUCUAACUUUUUUUAUUAAAUCAUUGGAUCAUAAAGAAUUUAUAUUUAAACAAUUUCAUUGCAUAAUUUAUUCAACUUUCUUAUUGACAUCAAUUGUAUGAAUCAAAUAUAUACCAUUGGCCCCUUUCUUGUAUAUUGAUAGGCUUUUAGCAAGUGUAUUAUAAACUACCAAAGCAAUAAAGUAUAAAAUUUGUAUCCACAUGGACUGCAUUAGUUUCUACUAGGCAAAGACAUAAUCAACACAGAUGUAUUAAAAUUUGGGGGUUGCACAAGGCAAAUAGUUUCUUUAACAAUCAUAAAUUAAAUAGCAAAAAGUAAAUGGUUUCAAAUCCCAUAUCCGUCAAUGUUUGGUAAUCUGCAUCUAAACCCUACAAUUGUUCUUCAAAUUUCAUUAUAUUUUUAAUAAAAACACAAUGUAACUUUUUUUUCCGUCUUAUUUUUGUUAGAGCAGUUCUUCUAAUUAUUUGUUCAUACCUUUUUUUUUUUAUAAAAUAGCAAAGUUUUAACAACAAACAUUAUAAUUAUUUUCUUUAAAACCAAUCAAAACUUUUUGUUGCCUCCGUACAAACUAAGGAAAAUAAUAACCUAAAAUGUUGAUAAAGGUAUUCGUUCGAAGUAAUAUUUUUAUAUUAUUGAUUAGAAUAUAAAUCUUUUUGGAUUAGUUACAUGACUAUUUUUUAUGUUUAGGGAUGUUUUUUUCAAUUAAAUAAAAGUUUGUUUUUUGAAAAAGUCUAUUUGAUUUAAAUAGGGGCUAAUUUUUACUAUUAGAGUCGGAUCUCCAAUUUCCUAGAAACGACCUCACACACACAUGUGUGUGUGUUAAGCAAAUUAGUCUAAAGACCCCGCGACACAUACGGAUAAUUGGGUCUCUUAAGCAUAUUGGUUCUGUAUUCAACUUUAGUACCGAGUAUGUACGAAAAAUAUAUUGUUGGAAUAGGCAAAUUCCAUGUUAGUGAUCUCUAAGCCUAGAGGAGGAUUUUGUUUAUCACAACUGUCUGAAAAAUUCUUUUCAAGUGGUAGUCAUUGGUCCGCAAUAUAUUGUAUGAGAAAUAUAUUGUUGGAAUGCGCAAAUAGUCAUUGGUCCGCAAUAUUUUCUUUAAUCUUAGUCGAAUGCAUGUCCUCUCCUUUAAAAACUAGCUAUAAUAUUAAUUGGUGCCAUAUCCUUGUAAUUGAUAUUGUGUGAUUCAUCACUUUUAGCAUAGCACUAUUAAUUAAUCUCUUGACGACUAGUUGUCGUCCAUUAUUUUUUUUCACCCAUUGGAUCGAAUUAAUCUACGUAGCAUUCACCAUCCCUAAAAGCUUUUUGCUCGUCCCUUUUCCAAGUGAUGCCACUCCUCUUAUUGAGCAUACGCUAGAAAAUAUUGUUUUGUGAUAUAGUGCAAAAUUGCAUAAUGCAUGCAUUGCAAAAUAUUAAUGUGAAAACCCAAACAAUUGCUAGACCUAAUAAUGUUAAUUAUUUGCUUCGUAAUAAUACUGAUUAAUUAUUCAACAUUGGUGAUAAGAAUGAGGUAAUCUUCAUUCUAAGGAUUAGACACAACAAAUAUAUUGUUCUAGACCUCAGAAUGCAGAUUAUCCAAUCCUCACCCAAUAGUUCUUUAUGAAAGCUGCAGACUAAUAAAAGCUUAUUAAAAUGAUUAUGUCCAAUUUUUUUAAUUGGUAAAAAAGAAGAGGUAAUCAACAUCCCGAAGAGUAGAUACAAUAAG